UACGAAGGGGGCUAGCGUUGCUCGGAAUUACUGGGCGUAAAGGGCUCGUAGGCGGCCAACUAAGUCAGACGUGAAAUCCCUCGGCUUAACCGGGGGAACUGCAUCUGAUACUGGAUGGCUUGAGUUCGGGAGAGGGAAGUGGAAUUUCCGGUGUAGCGGUGAAAUGCGUAGAUAUCGGAAGGAACAUCAGUGGCGAAAAGCGACUUCCUGGACCAGUACCGACGUCAGGCACGAAAGCGUGGGGAGCAAACAGG
rnacentral:rRNA from 1 species